AGUUUGAUCCUGGCUCAGGAUGAACGCUAGCUACAGGCUUAACACAUGCAAGUCGAGGGGCAGCAUGGUCUUAGCUUGCUAAGGCCGAUGGCGACCGGCGCACGGGUGAGUAACACGUAUCCAACCUGCCGUCUACUCUUGGACAGCCUUCUGAAAGGAAGAUUAAUACAAGAUGGCAUCAUGAGUCCACAUGUUCACAUGAUUAAAGGUAUUCCGGUAGACGAUGGGGAUGCGUUCCAUUAGAUAGUAGGCGGGGUAACGGCCCACCUAGUCUUCGAUGGAUAGGGGUUCUGAGAGGAAGGUCCCCCACAUUGGAACUGAGACACGGUCCAAACUCCUACGGGAGGCAGCAGUGAGGAAUAUUGGUCAAUGGGCGAGAGCCUGAACCAGCCAAGUAGCGUGAAGGAUGACUGCCCUAUGGGUUGUAAACUUCUUUUAUAAAGGAAUAAAGUCGGGUAUGCAUACCCGUUUGCAUGUACUUUAUGAAUAAGGAUCGGCUAACUCCGUGCCAGCAGCCGCGGUAAUACGGAGGAUCCGAGCGUUAUCCGGAUUUAUUGGGUUUAAAGGGAGCGUAGAUGGAUGUUUAAGUCAGUUGUGAAAGUUUGCGGCUCAACCGUAAAAUUGCAGUUGAUACUGGAUAUCUUGAGUGCAGUUGAGGCAGGCGGAAUUCGUGGUGUAGCGGUGAAAUGCUUAGAUAUCACGAAGAACUCCGAUUGCGAAGGCAGCCUGCUAAGCUGCAACUGACAUUGAGGCUCGAAAGUGUGGGUAUCAAACAGGAUUAGAUACCCUGGUAGUCCACACGGUAAACGAUGAAUACUCGCUGUUUGCGAUAUACAGCAAGCGGCCAAGCGAAAGCGUUAAGUAUUCCACCUGGGGAGUACGCCGGCAACGGUGAAACUCAAAGGAAUUGACGGGGGCCCGCACAAGCGGAGGAACAUGUGGUUUAAUUCGAUGAUACGCGAGGAACCUUACCCGGGCUUAAAUUGCAGAUGAAUUACGGUGAAAGCCGUAAGCCGCAAGGCAUCUGUGAAGGUGCUGCAUGGUUGUCGUCAGCUCGUGCCGUGAGGUGUCGGCUUAAGUGCCAUAACGAGCGCAACCCUUGUUGUCAGUUACUAACAGGUUCCGCUGAGGACUCUGACAAGACUGCCAUCGUAAGAUGUGAGGAAGGUGGGGAUGACGUCAAAUCAGCACGGCCCUUACGUCCGGGGCUACACACGUGUUACAAUGGGGGGUACAGAGGGCCGCUACCACGCGAGUGGAUGCCAAUCCCCAAAACCUCUCUCAGUUCGGACUGGAGUCUGCAACCCGACUCCACGAAGCUGGAUUCGCUAGUAAUCGCGCAUCAGCCACGGCGCGGUGAAUACGUUCCCGGGCCUUGCACACACCGCCCGUC
rnacentral:rRNA from 1 species